rnacentral:rRNA from 1 species
GACGAACGCUGGCGGCGUGCUUAAUACAUGCAAGUCGAACGGAAAGGCCCUGCUUUUGUGGGGUUCUCGAGUGGCGAACGGGUGUGUAACACGUGAGUAACCUGCCCUUGACUUUGGGAUAACUUCAGGAAACUGGGGCUAAUACCGCAUAGGAGCUCCUGCUGCAUGGUGGUGGUUGGUAAGUUUCGGCGGUUGGGGAUGGACUCGCGGGUUAUGGGCUUGUUGGUGGGGUAGUGGCUUCCAAAGGUUUUGAAGGGUAGCCGGCAUGGGAGGGUGACCGGGGACAAGGGGACUAAGAGACGGACCAGAAGCGUACGUGACGCAACAGUGGGAAAUAUGGCGCAGUGAGCGGAAGCGUGAGACAGCAACGCCGGGAGCGGGAUGACGGCUUUCGGGGGGUGAACAGCUGUCGCCUGAGACAAAGCGGGAGUGACGGUAAUGGGUAAAAAAGCACCGGCUAACUACGUG